rnacentral:rRNA from 1 species
UACGAAGGGGGCGAGCGUUGUUCGGAUUUACUGGGCGUAAAGGGCGCGCAGGCGGCUCAUUUUGUCAGGCGUGAAAGCCCCGGGCUUAACCUGGGAGGUGCGUUUGAUACGGAUGGGCUAGAGUUCGGGAGAGGAGAGUGGAAUUCCCAGUGUAGAGGUGAAAUUCGUAGAUAUUGGGAAGAACACCGGUGGCGAAGGCGGCGACCUGGUCCGACACUGACGCUGAGGCGCGAAAGCGUGGGGAGCAAACAGG